AUUGAACGCUGGCGGCAUGCCUUACACAUGCAAGUCGAACGGCAGCACGGACUUCGGUCUGGUGGCGAGUGGCGAACGGGUGAGUAAUAUAUCGGAACAUACCUUGUAGUGGGGGAUAACUAUCCGAAAGGAUAGCUAAUACCGCAUACGCUCUAAGGAGGAAAGCGGGGGAUCGUAAGACCUCGUGCUAUAAGAGUGGGCGAUAUCUGAUGAGCUAGUUGGGGAGGUAAAGGCUCACCAAGGCGACGAUCAGUAGCUGGUCUGAGAGGACGACCAGACACACUGGAACUGAGACACGGUCCAGACUCCUACGGGAGGCAGCAGUGGGGAAUUUUGGACAAGGGGGGCAACCCUGAUCCAGCAAUGCCGCGUGAGUGAAGAAGGCCUUCGGGUUGUAAAGCUCUUUUGUCAGGGAAGAAACGGUUGUGGCUAAUAUCCAUGGCUAAUGACGGUACCUGAAGAAUAAGCACCGGCUAACUACGUGCCAGCCGCCGCCGUAACAC
rnacentral:rRNA from 1 species